GACAUUGUCUUAGCGCUGGCUCUCCGUUCGGAGAGGACGAGGAAGAGGUUGUCGAAAUUUCAGCGGAUGCCUCUCGGCUCAGCCGGUCGAUAAAGGCCGUCAAAACUCAUCGGUGACGGUGAGGACAAAGCGGUACAUAAGGCUUUUC
rnacentral:ncRNA from 2 species